rnacentral:lncRNA from 1 species
GUUGUAUACAAAGUUAUCUGAACGCCAUUUAUUCAAGUCUGCUUGAGUUCCUAUCAAGUACUCAAGAAAUGUCUCUACUCUCUGACAUAAUUUCAGAACGCAACAAUUUUACUCUUCUUCCUAGAAUAUUAAGUUAGCUAUUGCUACUUACUACAUUUCAGAUCUGAAAUAUGCUUGACAUAUAUGACUGCAAGUAGUCUCUUUGUCCAGGAUUCUCAAUAUGAUGUACACUCUUUGACUUCCAAGCAAGUUUUUGCACCUGAUCAAAGCAUUAACAAUGAAGUCAUAACCACGAGAUACCUCUACUAAAAGUUGUUCGCUAAGUGAAAUUGCAAAGUUGAGAAUACUAUGAAAGAACCCCAACCAUAUGCUCACCCGGUUGUAAUAGAUUGCAUAAGAAAUAGAAUGAUGCAUCUCCAGACAUUUUACAAAAGAGGCACAAUCCACAAAUACAAUGCAUAGUUCUCCUACAUGUUACUAUUUUUACAAUUGAACGAUGAGUUAUUCAUAGAAACGUAAUAAACUUUAUGUAGUUAAAAUAUUCACAUGUUACGGUUGCUAUUACACAUAAACAUUCAUCCUGUACAUUACUACUAUGAAUUCCCGCAGCAACGCGCGGGGUGUCAUCUAGUUAAUAGAGUGAGUGUGGCCUAUACUGCACAUUCCAGUACUUUAGCAAUUUAGUUCAUAGUAAGCUUGUUAGAGUACGUAAUGGCCUAAUGGGUCUGGGCCGGCGGUAUAACCCGUUACUCUUAGGGUUAAUUAGAGAUAAAAGUCGCCUGCUUGGGAAUCAAGUAAACCUCUCUAUAUAAGAAGAGAAAAUGUAUCAAUCUAAUCAAGCAAGAAGCAAUCAUAUUUGCUCGGCUUCCUUAGGAAGCCGAGAGACCUAACCCUAGCCGCCGCUGCUCUCGUCAUCCCUCCUUCCACCCCUACAACCUGAGAGGAUGCUCUGGUAUGGAUCUGGUUCAUACCAAUUUGGUAUCAACUUUCCCGGGUUCAAUCAUGUCCAGCCCUCCACCGAGUUCUUCCCACCCGCGGCCACCAGCGUCUUCGUCGACACUGCUGCCCCACACAGCAGGUGCGCCGGCAGUGGGUGUGCUGGCGUCCUCAGGGGCGAUUGCACCCUCUGCCCCGGCGCCGUCCGCCCUCGUCCUCACCCCGGAGCAGAUGACAGCCGCAAUCCUGGAAUUACGGCAGGCCGUGGCAGGCAUCAGGGCCUUCCUCGUCGGGCCCUAUGCACCCCAGUCGCAUCCCCAGUAGCCACCUCCUCCUCCGCCACACCAACAAUGGCUACCCCUGCCGCCGCCGCCCUCAGCCACGACCACGGCGCCGGUCAUCUCAUACCAGUAUGGGAUGCCCUACGACGGGACUGUGACGACCUUGUUCCCAUCUGCGUCGUCGCCAUCCCAGGGCGUCCCCAUCUAGCAGAUCAAGUUCCCGCCGUCGCUGUCACCGCUUACGACUUGGAUCGCUACCCGUCAUGUGUCGGAGGCGGUGAGGCUGCAGGCUGCUGCUCGCGGCCUCCUAGCGCAUCGGCGUGUGGGGGAGAUGCGUGGUCUGCAGCUGCAGCUCCUCCAAGUUGCGCUUCGCUUCGCAAAGGACCUCGAUCUCGUCCGCUGCGUCGGGGAUCUUGGGCAUGCGGUUUCCCCCAUGGGCGGCGGGCAUGCUGUUUUCCCCGCGGGCAGCGACCUCAACGCCUGCAACAUUGGCGGUUGGGGAGGCGCACCCCUCCUUGUCAUUCUCCAUCGAAAGCCCUCCACUCUUCUCUGUGCGGUGCAGACCAACAUCCGCCCGGCGGGGAGAAGGCAUGGUGUCACCGACAGGAGCGCACCGCGUAGCACCACUGCAUUCCGCUGCCGGCCGCCGCGAGGGCGCCUCUGCUGGUCGCUCUUGCGACCACUUCUAGGUGACCAUACACAUGCACUCCUUUUGUCCAGAUGAUGUCCAUGGGAUCCAGGUGGCUGUACACGUGCACGUCCGACAUGCGGAUGGUGUCCACUUUAUGUUGAUGGGUCCAAAAUAAAGUGUCCCGGUCAAUUUCAGGUUGAGAGUAAUAAAACAAGCCAAGAUGUAAAAUGCUUGUUUUUAGGUGUUAGGUUUGUGUUGCGUCGAGUCAUGGUUAUCAGUUGGUUAGGUUGCAGCUCGAGGACAAGCUGCAUGUCCAGGUGGGGUGUAGUGUUAGAGUACUUAAUGGCCUAAUGGGCCUGGACUGGCGGUAUAGCCCCUUAGUCUUAGGGUUAAUAAGAGAUAAGGGUUGCUUGCUUGGAAGUCAAGUAAACCUCUCUAUAUAAGGAGAGGAGAUGUAUCAAUCUAACCAAGUAAGAAGAAAUCAUAUUUGCUCGGCUUCCUUAGGGAGCCGGGAGACCUAACCCUAAACCUCUCUAUCGCGCGCGCGCACGCAACUAUGGCGCCCCGGCACCCCAGCGCCCGCGACCACACCACCCCUCCUUCCACCCCUACAACCUGAGAGCACACUCUGGUAUGGAUCUGGUUCAUACCAAAGCUGCUAAUGCACAACGAAUUAUAUCAGUUCUAUUAUCACUGUGUUUUAAAGUUGUUAAGAGUGAGGAAAUAUGCAGCUUGUAUUUACAAUAGGCCAUAGUCAUAGCAGAGUGCAUUUUCUACCAUGCACGGUAUAUACCGUGCAUUGAUCUGCCGCUUAAUUAUUUUAGGGUCCUAAAGAAAUCACAAGUACUAACCUGCUGUACGUCUCAUUUUUCUCCACCUUUCUGUCACAUUGUUAGUUUGUGUGUGUCAGCCUUUUUUAAAUAGUGUCCUUCCAUUUGAAUGCCUCCCCCCUCGUUGCAACUCUAUCCCAGAAAUAUAUUUUCUCUUUCUAUUUAAUGAUUUAGAUGCUUGAUAUCUUCUCAAAUAAAAGUUUGUGUUAUAUUCUAUUUGGGCAAAUGUGUUUAUACCGACGAGAUAUUUUAAACAAGACCUACAGAAAAUUGAUCUAUAGAAAACUCAACGACAUACAGUAGUGUUUUUUACAGUUUCGUAAGGUCUCUCCACGUUUCAUAUUUGAAUUUUAUAAUUUGUGAGAAUAUAUUCAAGCGUGAUCUUAUUUCAGUGUUCUCUUCACAAGGAAUAUAAAUAUGCAAAUGUAUCAUAAAUCAAACUUACGGUUCAAAAGAUAAAAUAAGCUUAACUUUUAGAAUCAUAUGAAAAAAAAACUGAGUGAGUGUAGUACUACUCUCUCUACUUUUGUGAGUGAGAGGAGAGAUAUUGCAGGUAAUAACUACGGGGACAAGUUGUCAGAAGAAAUAGUGACUGAUUGAUAUGACAUAAAUUAAUAGAACAAGGGGUCAUAAACUGAGGUUAACUAAGCAACACAACGACCAGAUGUAUUCAUGGAUCCAAAUGUCAAUGAUAACCAGUGGCUGAUACAUGCAUAGUAUAUACCAUGCAUCGGAGAAUGUCUUUUCUCAUAGUCAUAGCGUAAAUACAUACAUGUGUGUUAAAUAGGCAGAAAACCCCUUAUACAACAAGGAUAAUUGAAGGCGCAUCUAACUCUUUGGGCGAUCGAAUGUUCAUCCAUUCCCCAAGGUAAAUUUUGGUGACUAAUUUGAACAUAUCUCAAGAAACUAAUGCCUGCUACAAGAUUAUUUCAGGAAAGUUUGCAACAAAGGAAAUGGAAGGUGACCCCCACAAAUCAACAUGAUGACAAGUGUUAGUCAAGCUCAAGGAUUCACCAUUGUCAUUUUGAGUGAUCCAAGAUCACAUCCAGUUCUUAGGCAUGUCGAUACUAUCAAAAGGAGAUGAGGAUGCUAUAAUGAGUUUUUCUCGAGUGAUUGAAGAUCAAACUCCAUAAGUCCACAAAAGUCUUUCAUUUUUCCUCCACUAUGUGAUGUAGGGUGGAACCCUAAUGGUGUUGAUCUUUUACAAUUGGAGAGGAUCCCAUGAAGAACACGAAGAACAUGAGAGGGAAAAAUGAGAGGAAACACUCAAAUAGACAAGACACAAUCACACAUGUGCUAAAUCCACAUACACACAGAGAGAUUUGCGAUCCAAAGUCAACAAGGAAGGAUACCCGGUAGCUAGUUCAUCCCAAUCCGUGAGGAUGCGGGGUCUUGAAUCCGUAGAGGAUUUUCCCUAGAAGGGGUCUUGAAUCCAUUUGGGGGAUCUUCUCCUAGGAGGUCUUAAACUCCAAGGAGUAGGGGUAAGUGGAUGAGCAAAGCUCUAUCUCCACUGAGCUAAUCCUUUGCUAACCCUAGAUGGAGGAGGGAGAGGUCUAUAUACAGUGCUAGUACAAGUUGAGGCGAGUUGGAGGGAUACAUGGGCCAGAGGCCCGUUAUACUGUGCGCAGACAAGGGCCAGAUGUCCGGGGCAGCUAUGGGUUUUCGGUACUGUAGUCUUCAGCCGGAUUUCCAGGCAGGGGCAGGAUGUCCGGGGUCAUCGGGCCGGAUGUCCGGUGCCUGUGGGUGCUUGGUGUCUGGGCUGCUGUUGUGUUUUAUAUCUUCAGGGGCCGAAUGUCCGGGUCCUGUAACCUUUCUCCCGUUCCUCUUGUCGUGCUCCUUCAUCCAUGUGCUUGGGGACUUAUCCGUCAUCACGAGCAUCUCGGAGAGGGUCUUCUCCAUACCUAAUCACACAUAGCAUUCCGGCUUUAGUAGUAGCCAUGUCUCACAUGGGUCAUACGAAAUAUCACUAAGGAGAUAUGUCACCUCGGUCUCGAGAGCUCUUGCACGUGCUCGUGUCAUCGGUCCACUUGGCACUUGGGGAUACAUAGGUAGGUCCAUAGGGAUGACCGUAGGAUUACUUAUCUUCCAUAUACAUCAGAGCUUCUGAGCUCUGCAGGUCGAAUUUGCUGAACAAUGUACCAGGUAUAGCCAUUGCAAAACCCUAGCCAUUCAGAGCUGCCAUCCAUUCCAUUUGGAACCACAGAAGCAUUUGUUAAACCUUCUGUUAUCCGAUCGAAAUUCGGGAGCAAUCCAGUCGGAAUUUCUGAAGUGGUUACAGGGAGUGUGCCACUACCCAAGUGUGUGUUUUGGAGACUCCCAUUGACUUCAUUCCAGACUGACCGAGUGAUUUUGAUAGUGGCCUCCUUUAUUUACGUCAGAGCCUCAGAGCUAAACACUCUACAACUUACAAGUUGUGCAAUAUUGUUGGUAACAGUCAGAUUUCUGGUCCAGCCUAUUUAUACCCACCUAUCCCAUCAGUCCACAUGAAGCAAACUCCCCUCCUAUCAUAUGUUUUGAGAUAGAACACCACCUCCUUGUCCUAAUUUUAAAGGGUUUUCUACUUCCAUGUCCAAUCCUUUGGAUCUAGUCCCCUCUUUGCUUCCACUCCUACUUCUCAAAUGCAAAGCCAAAUCUUGUCAAAGUUAGAGUGCAAGAGGAGAUUAUGUUUUGAAGCACAGGAGUAAGAGAUUCAUCUGAGCUACCUCAUCUUAUUACUUUUGGAGGGUGCGCGUCUCCUAGAUUGGCUAACUGCGCUUAGAAGUCUUCAACUAUUGUGAAGAGCCCAAGAAGUUUGUAAGGGCUUGGAGAUCGUCUACUUCAUGAAGAUCUACCAUAGUGAGGCUAGUCCUCCAUGGCAGUACACCAUGAUGGGAUAGGUUGGUUGCUUCUUCGUGGACCCUUCAUGGGUAAGCGUGCUUAGUGGACCUUGUUCCUUCGUGGAAUCUUGCAACCGGGAUUAUUGUGAUCUUAGAUCCUCCAUGGAUCAAAGCCUCCAUCAAUGUGGAUGUAAGAUAGUGCCAACUAUCCAAAACACAGAAAAAAACUUCACCGAGCCAACCCAUGUUUGCGUAUCUCUAAUUAUACCUCUUACAUGAACUUGCAUGUCCUCACUUUCUGUUGUCUCUAUACUCUAGUAGACUUGCAUAUCUUUACUUUCUGUUGUCUAUACUCUCUAGUAGACUUUCAUGUGUAGGGUGAUACAUAGAACUACUCUAGGAAAGCUUAAAAUUUCCAAGGAACCCCCCUCUAGACAUAAUCCAUCCUACAAUAAUAUACAACUAAUACACGGAAACUAUAUAUAACUCAACCCCCUCAAACUGAUGAAAAUUUAACAACAUUUAAUUUGGAGAGGAAGAAGUUGUGUUGCACUCUAGUAUGGGCCUUUGUCUAGAAAUUUACUAACUGUAACUUGGAAGGCAAAUAUUGUAGACUGUACAUCAAUCACAUGAUCUGAUACUUGGGACCGCAUGAUGCAACAUCGACACCAAUGUGCUUGGUUAGCUCAUGCUUCACAAGGUCAUGUGCAAUAAUGGUAGCACAAUAUGUCUAAUAAAAGAUGAGUUCAUGUAGAGAUAGAAACAAAAAAAAUCUUAAAGCAACCACCAUAGCCAGCGAGAAGAGUUGUAGUUUGCUCGCAACUCAUUUACUACACUCGAAUGCAAAAUUGCGAUCUAUUUCUUCAUCUUGCAGGCAAUGAGAGGACUGUCAAGAAAAAACACAAUAAGCAGAAAGCAAUCGAAAAUCUCAAGGAGCGCCGAUAGAAAAGAUGGGGACAAAUAGUCCCACGAAGAUGUCACAAAACCCAAGGGGGUGACUGUGUCUAACCAGAAUGAGAGUAGGUAUGACCUCACUUGAAAUGUGAAAUAGAUAGAGGUAUCCUGACGAGUGACAACUACUUAGAAAGAGGCCCGCCAUUAAAAUCUUAAGACUGGACAUUGAGCUCCCUCGGGGUCUUAACAUGGAUGUACUUGUGAGAGAAAAAGUCAUCUAAGGUAGACGAGACCUCAGUCCCAAGGUUGUAGCAUAGAGUACCAAGAUCAGACAUAAGAAACCGCUCGUUAAGAUGGGCCUUUGUAUUCAGAGUCAUCCUUAGUGAUGAACAUGGCAUCAAGAUAUAGAUGUUAGAUACGUGGCUCUCUACGGCAUGAGGAAUAAAGCAAGGGCGGAUUAAAAGAAUAGUUCUUCCAUGCCUCCAGGGCGAGUGCUUCUCCCUAACCAUAGUACACAACAUAGAAGAAGAGUUCGACCUCGAGAUGGAAGGAGGACAAGGAGGUGGCAUUAUCAUUGUUUGCUCAUUGGAAAGCUAGCAAAGGUGAAACACUCAAACCAGGCAUGUGGGGCUUGCUUAAGGCCAUAAAGAGAGCUUUGAAGAUGAUAGGCCAUGCCCUGCAUAUAUACCCAGAAAGGUGGGUGCAUGUAGACCUCCUCAUGCUACCAACCAUUAAGAAAGGCGUUCUUGAAAUCAAGCUAGUAGACAUAGUAAUAGUGAAUAGAAACCAGGAAAGANNNNNNNNNNNNNNNNNNNNNNNNNNNNNNNNNNNNNNNNNNNNNNNNNNNNNNNNNNNNNNNNNNNNNNNNNNNNNNNNNNNNNNNNNNNNNNNNNNNNNNNNNNNNNNNNNNNNNNNNNNNNNNNNNNNNNNNNNNNNNNNNNNNNNNNNNNNNNNNNNNNNNNNNNNNNNNNNNNNNNNNNNNNNNNNNNNNNNNNNNNNNNNNNNNNNNNNNNNNNNNNNNNNNNNNNNNNNNNNNNNNNNNNNNNNNNNNNNNNNNNNNNNNNNNNNNNNNNNNNNNNNNNNNNNNNNNNNNNNNNNNNNNNNNNNNNNNNNNNNNNNNNNNNNNNNNGGGGGAGGGGGGAGUUUCAUCGUAGUCGCGGACAUGAUCCUUCUAAAAGCCACAUGCCACAAGACGAGCCUUGUGACCCUUAAGGGAAAUAUUGGAGUUGGUGUUUACCUUGUAGAUACAAUUGGAUACGGACACAUAGAGGAAGAGCGACAAGAUCUCGCAUGCCAUUGUGCUCAAUGGCACCAAGCUCCCCUGCAUUACAUAUGUUGCCAUUUUAGAUGAACAAGAAAGUCUCAAUAAGAACUUGGCUUGCUAAUAGCGACACUACGCAUCGUUAGCACCUCGGUUUGGGCUAAGUUCAGCCUCAGGAACUCGUCGAAGACCCCUUGCUGGAAGGCCUGGAUGGCCUAGGCUUGGAUAUGUUCUCGAUGGAGUUUAGGAGCCAAUUCUAACAAUUGAUGUAUUCACAGAUCGACUUGUCAUUCUUUGGGACGCAAUUCCAGAGGUUAUGCGCGAUGGCAGGCCUCGUGUAGGUGCACUCAAAGUUCUUUAUGAAGGCAUUGCGCAGGACAUCCCAAACGCAUAUGUUGUCCUCGCGGAUGCUGUUAAAGCCACGCCCUUGUGGAACUCCCCAACAUCAAUGGGAGAUAACGCAGAGCAACAUGCUCGUUGCCCCCGCCGCUAAUGCAAGCAAUCAUGUAGUCAGCCAGUCAAGUUUUGGGCUUGACAAUACCUUGUACUCCCUCUGUAAACUAAUAUAAGAGUAUUUAGAUAACUAAAAUAGUGAUCUAAACGCUCUUAUAUUAGUUUACAGAGGAAGUACUUUUUAAUUCCAUUGGCGGUCCGAAGCCGCUAUGGAAAGGGCACAAUCUGUAUGUGCCGACUGAAGCACAAAGGACCCUGUGACCGUGAGCCAAAUGGCCGACCGAACUCGUCACGAUGCUCGGUGUGCCGCCUAGCUGCUCGAACGGCCUCAAUAUCGCUUCGUGUGUCGUGGCGUCCUUCUCUCCUGUUGGGAGGAGAGAAAGAUCGACGUUGCUCUAUGUGGAUUCGCUUGAUGUCUUCACGCACACCCACCGAUUUGGGCGGUGACAGUGAUGCACCAAAGGUUGGCACUGUAGGACUUGGAGACAAGAUGGCCACAUUCUUUUGUUCUACCACUGUUUUGAACAGUGUGGUGAGUCAGUGAUGAUGUCUCACCUCGGGCACAUUAGUAGGCGAAAGGAGAACUUCAGCGAGAGCCAUGGAAAGCAAGAGGUUCCUGGCAGGAGUGCGGUGGAAGCGACGCCCUCCGAUGUUCGUGUUGUCUGGGAAUCACACGCACCGCGUUCUCUUUGCACAAUUAAAGUGGACUGCUGGGGGUGACAACGUGCCUCGUUCUCCUGCGGGGACUAGAACUCAUGCUCUCGCACCUCAAGUACCGUUCUCUCCUCCGCGAGGCGCUCCUGCUUAGUGAGAACAUCCACAUGAGUAGUCUCAACUCUCAAGGGCUCUCUCAGUAGGCAUGUUGUCCAUCCAUGGCAUGUCCAAGAGUGCAUCAACAAUUUGUUGGGCUGUCGUAUCGGCCAGAAUUGCGCCAUUGUUGGCCAUGUACACCUUUGUCAUGGGGGCAGAAGUGGACGAACUCUCAUACCCGCCGGACUCGAAAACCCAAUGCAGGCAAGAUGGAGUCAAAAGUGACCGUACCAACAAGCCAGGAAGCCACAUUACCGGUGCGCGUCAUUGGUGAAGAUCUUAGGGAUCACUUGAGACCUGGCACCCUCAGUCGGGGAUGGACCUAUGGCUAGAGUCACAUGAUGCUGACUCGACUAGCGACGAAGUCCACACUCCCGGCAGCGAUCAACAUGCUCUGACAGAAUGCGGCGCAGGCAGGAUGUCAUGACGCAUAAUUGGUGAUAAAGUGCAAGAUGAAAACACACACGAGCUACUCGGGACUGAACCCACCAACGAUUGUUGUAGAGGAUCCCGCUUGGAUCGCAACUCUAACGUGCGGAUGCUCCCAUGGUGGCUGCCAACUGUCUUGGGGAUUACGCCUCAAUACUCUUGAUUUGGGGGAUUUGUAUGGGCAAGGCGCACGUGGAAGAUCUAGGUACGGGAUUUCAUACGGUUGAAGCUUUACCUAGGUUCUGCCCCCUAUUGUAGGUGUAACACCCUACUUCUGCUUGGAUGUUCCAUCUCUUGUAUGAACCGAGUGAUUACAACUAUUUUGGUCUAUGUCAAAUCUUGUCUAAGAUCUCCUGCCAUACUCACCUUAUAUACUGCGAUGAGGAUGUGGAGUUACCAGGGUUGUUAUGAACCACGAUGUAAUAAUAGCCAUGAUGAUGACGGUUACAAAUGCAAUUAACCCCAACGCCAUAAUGUUGUCGUAAUAGCGUAGCUGGUAACAUCUGCCUUGAUUGACUAUGUAUGGUCUAGUCGGAUGGACAUGAGGGUAUUUAGCUUGAUGGGCUCCGAGAUGUUCAAUCAGAUGGGCUUGCUAAUAUCGGCCCGCCCGAGUGAUUCUUCUACUGAAGACUCGGGUCGUUUGGCUGCUAGGCUUAAUCCUUGUCAUGGGCCUACACCAGGAGGGAUCCCACUGUCAAGAUCCAAUCUGGACAUCCUGUAGAUUCUCAAAAAAAAAAAAAAACUGGACAUCCUGUGUAGAUCAUCCAACUCCAACUCCGGCAACUCGACUUGCGACUCACAGGAUGCACCAUUGUGCACCCCACUGUAAUGUGUCUUGGAUAUAAUCCCAUAUAAGGAGUAGGUUCUUACUCACCAUGUGAAGGCCCAAACCAGGGUAUAACUUGUGUCGUGUGUCCACCUGGUAUCUGAGAUUAUGACUCACUGUCACAUAUAUCCACGUAUGUUAAUAGUAUUGUUGUUAGGUACAUUGUGAAUCACUAUCGAUAGACAUCAAUCCGUGAUUUGGGUUUCCGUUUCCACUAACCUCCCAACUAUUUUACUGCGACUAUUAGACAACAGAGCCCUAGACAUUUACGGAAAUUUCUUGGGUGGUUUUGCAUGCAAACCUGAAUGAACAGGUGGUAAUCUCCUAAAAAACAUGGUUUUGAUCCACUGACUCAAGCUAGUAUAUAUCUAAGCAUGGUUAAAUAAUGAUGUCUCUAAAUUUGCUUUUGUUGUAAACGUGCAUCUAAUUGAACCCAAUGCCGAUAUCUAAAAUGAUGUACCUAACAUUGCCACACAUCUAGAUAGUGUACGAUAUACACCGCUCGAUAUGAGUGGUUAGCUAUAUAAGAAACAAUAGGGUUUGUCUAGGGUGCAUCUAGAUGUGAAAUAAUUAUGUCACAUCUAAGGUGACAUUAUCUUUUUGUUGGGUCAGGUCUUUAAUGAGUUGCGUUGAGUUGACAAAAUGGCCCAUGUAAAAAAACCUGUUGGGACUGGCUAUUUCCUGAGCAAUGGACGGAACACGAAGGCACUUGAUUUGAGCCUGCUCAGAAACACGAAUCUUGAUGCGUGAAUAUCUGAUGGCUUAGAACAGAUGAGAGUUUUGUUAGUUCUGUUCUAGAUGAAAAUUAGCUAAUCCAAAAAUAAUAUACUUAACUCUAGACCACUCUCCUCUAACUACACCAUAAGACCCAAACAAACAAAGGAAAGGAAAACGACAUGUGACCCUCAACCGAAAGCUACAGCCCUGUAUCAAUAAGCUAGUGAAAAGGCCCAACAACAAAAAAUGGCCCACUUAAAAAGCCCUGUUGGGACUGGCUAUUUCCUGAGCAAGAAUGCUACACCCACGUAAUUUUUACUAAAAGCUACUAAACCUUCCAUUCCUAACUAAUACAACUCCCCCUGAUUUUCAAGGAGUGGGCCCGCCUCACUUUUCUUAACCAGUAAAAUCGUUGCGGCUAAGAUCCUUCGUAAGGUACGUAAAAUAUAUUUUACGUAGGUGUAGCGUUGUCCAUUUCUUGAGCAACGGAUGGAACACGAAGACAACUGAUGUGAGCCUGCUUGGAAACACGAACCUUGAUGCGUGAAUAUAUGACGACUUAGAAUUUAGAUGAGACUUUGUUAAGAUAUACUAACUCCUCGAUGGAUGGGAUCUACAAGUGGAUCUAACCUUUCAAUAUGAUCUUUCCUGACUGCAUUGCUAAUAUGCCGAAUGCCGCACACCAGACAGUAGUAGCCGAGGCUGCAUCGGAGCUCUACAGCCUGCAACAUGCCAGCUUUGUCGAUCUUUGCCAUGCUCCAGCUCUGGUCAACGCCUUAUUGAAGUUCCGGGGUGCGCACCCGUGCAUGGAUUGCUGCUUCCCCGAUUGUCCACCUCUUUCGGCCACCGGGUUGGUCCUGGAUUUGGGCAUUGGGCUUUCUUUGUUCUCCAAGGGGAGACCAGAACCAGUAUUGAUUUGGGAUCUGAUUUUCGUUCUUGAUGGGGCCGCCUCGAUCUGGUUGGAACAUGCUUUUGUUAUUUAUUUCUCUUGGAGCAUGUCGCGAUGUCGGCUUGGGGGCGGCGAGGAGAUGGCGGCAGAGAUGUGGGCUACCUCACUUAGCGGGGAGGAAAACGUCUUCUCCCUCUGCCGUGUGCGUACGUUUCUCGGAUGUGUCAACUGUUGCUGAUCACAGAAGUUACAUCUGUUCGUCUGGGAGAGAAUUGCUUUGCCAUUUUCCUAUAACAAACUCGGCUGAAUUUGUACACAGGACAUGUAGAAGCUCUGUAUGAUCGAAUACCGAAUCGCCCUGUAGAGCACUAGAUCCGCACUAAAUACUACGUAGUACAUCUCUAGAAGCACUAGAUCUGCAUUAGCUCUGUAUGAAUUUCCCAUUUUCCAACAACUAAAUAGUACACAUAAUUUGCACACAUAACAAUUGAGGAUUAACAUCAUUCCAGGUGAAUAAGACUUGAUUGAGUGAUUGGAUUGUACAAUAAUUAUGCUAAGCUGGAUAUAUGUACCUGCUUCUGUCUACAUGUGUGACGGAUAAUCUGGCGUCCAAUUAGGAACUCGGAACUAUAGUCGUCGUGAAGACCUCCAAGCUGAAACAAAACCCCGCGAAGCACAAUGCAAACAAGACUAAGCACGGAAUCCAUUUACACAAAGCGAAGAAAGAAUUAUGGGCAGCUUGGUGGGUAACAAUACCUCCAAUAAAUCGCGCGACGAGACCAAAUUAUGAAACUGUUCCCAUCCUUUUUGCGCGUCUGUUGAACUAUGGCUGGUUAAGACUUGGGAACUCGCCUUCUCACAUCGUUUCGUGGGGCUGCAGGCCACUAAAGAACAUAAUUAAUCAUUUGUUAUUAUUGAAUGGUAGAUGCUUCGUUGGUUCCUUUCCUCCAACUGGCAAGAGCUGACCACCCACAAUCAUUGGGUUUAAGUUCUUAAGAUAACUAGUAUUUCAAUCGUGUGUCAGACCAAGCAUAUUACAUAACAACAACUGGCAAGAGCUGACCAUCCACAAUUAUUGGGUUUAAGUCUUUAAGAUAAUUAUCAUGUGUCAGACCAUGUUACUACAUAACAACAACGACCAUUCAGAGUCAAUUAAACAAAUGUUUAAUGUCAAGUGUCUUUCUGACCUCAGUGCAGAUGCAAUGGAUGCUCUAUUUUCUAUGUUAACAAUAAUACAGUUCCCAAGUGAUGCAGUGAGGCAAAGAUGAUUAUGGUAGAUCUGGAAUCAGAUUAUACAGAUAGAUGCAUGAAUCAAUGGCUGCAUCCUAUACAGAGAUGACUAUGCUGGGCGUCCAUCUGAACCCAAUGCCAAUAUCUAAAAUGAUGCAUCUAACGUUGCCACACCAUCUAAAAGUUAGCUAUAUAUGAAACAAUGGACAAAAGAUACUAUAUGGUAUAGAAACUCCAGUGCAUUGUAACUACAAGUGGAUCUAACCUUUCAGUAGGAAAUUUUCGUGGCUCACGCAGCACAACUUGUUCCACACCGAGAUAAGCGUUGCUUGGAAUCACCAAAAUGCCAACCUGACAGGAUCACAACACGAUCAACACAUAAUUCACUCGAACUAGCUCGAUUUACUCAUGGAUACUCGCUUAAGUUUAGAUACAGUCGAGGAUCAAAAUCAACCAAUUCUAGCAAGUAGUUCUACGGUUCUGUGCUAGAGCUAGCUUUUACAACUUGGAGAAAGAAAGGGUAAGGUAGCGAUCGGCGGAUCAUGGGGAUGGUUUAAUAGCGAGGGAGGAAAACGAAUCACGCUGUAGCUACCAGGGAGACGACGACAUCGGCGUGAAAUGAAUAGAAGAGCUCUCAAGAGUUUCUGGCCGUUGAUCUUCACUUGAUACAACUAAUCCUGAGCGUCCAUCCACGCGUCAUACUCCUGUGCUUCUUCUUCAGUUUCGACAGUGUUCAUUUCUUCAGAGAAGUACAUGUUCAGAUAACAGGGUCCUCACUCGCCCAUCGGACAGCUCUAGCCGAGGCUGGAUCGAAGCUUUGCUACUCCGGUCAAUGACAUAUCGAAGUUCUGGGGCGCGCAUCCUUGCAUGGCAUGCCGCUUCCCCGAUUGGCCACCUCCUGAGGCCGCCGGGUUGGUCCUAGAUUUGGUCAUUGGGUUUUGUUUGUUCUCCAGAGGCGACCGGAACCAGUAUUGAUUGGGGAUCUGGUUCUCUUUGUUCUCAAUGGGGCCGAUUGGAUCUGGUUGGGACAUGCCUCUGCUAUUUCUUCACGUGGAGAAUGCGGCGACGUCGGCUUGGGGAGAGAUGGCUAUGAGGAGACGGAGAUGUGGGCUAGCAUAGCACACGGAGCGAGGAAAACGUCGGCCGCGGGGUGGUGGGGCAGGAUCGUAUUCGACUAAUCUUCUCCUUUUCCAUGUGCGCUGAUGUUACGUCUGGCCGUAUGUGAUAGAACUGCUUUGGAUCUUGCUAGGUGAUCCCUUUUUCCUAUAACAAACUCUGACUAAAUAUGCAUACAGAACUUGCAGAAGCUCGGUACAAAUACCGAAUCGCCCCGCAGAGCACUAGAUCUGCACAAAAUAGUACUAGUACUAUGUACUACUACAUCUCUAGAACAACAGAAAGAAACAAGAUUCGAACUCUUGUGGUUAAGACUCGAUCGAGCGAUUCCGGUGUACAAUAAUUAUGCUAAGCUGGAUAUAUAUACCUGCUGCUGUCUACCAGUUUGGCGGAUAAUCUGGCGUCCAAGCAGGAACUGAGCAGAACUCAACCCGUCACUAACCUGAACGAAAACCCCACGAAAAGCAAUGCAAACAAGACUAAGCAGGAAGCUCAUUUGCAGGAAGCAAAGAAAGAAAUAUGAACAGCUUGCUGGGUAGCGAUACCUCCAAUAAUUCGCGCGCGAUGAGACCAAAUUACUGAACCACCAUUCCCAUCCUUCUUGCUCGUCUCUGGAACUAUGGCUGGUUAAGACUUGGGAACUCAGC